rnacentral:misc_RNA from 1 species
GAUGAAGAACGUAGCGAAAUGCGAUAAGUAGUGUGAAUUGCAGAAUUCAGUGAAUCAUCGAAUCUUUGAACGCACAUUGCGCCCCUUGGUAUUCCAUGGGGCAUGCCUGUUCGAGCGUCAUUUGUACCCUCAAGCUUUGCUUGGUGUUGGGUGUUUGUCCCGCGUUGCGCGUGGACUCGCCUUAAAGCGAUUGGCAGCCGGCAUAUUGGCCUUGGUGCGCAGCACAUUUUGCGCUUCUAGUCAUGAAUGUUGGCGUCCAUUAAGCCUAUACAUUUGCCCUUGACCUCGGAUCAGGUAGGGAUACCCGCUGAACUUAAGCAUAUCAAUAAGCGGAGGA